UGAUACGCACGCCAUUGUAUACCGGCGAUUCGUUCUGGAUUUUGUUUAGGGGAUUCCCCUUAUUUAGGGCCAGCUUGUCGAUCUACUAGUUUUGAUCUGGAUGUUAGUCUCGUGGUCUCCCAAAUCCAAAUUCAGACCAAUCUAAGGCCGCAUUUGACCUAGAAUGGCCGGCAUGGGCGCCCGCGUCGGAGCUACGCGACUGGAGUCAGCACCCCGACCAGACCCACCUCCUGUUCGUCUCCAAGCACGCCUUCCUCUCCCUCCCCUUCACGACACCAGACCCAGCACCGGAGUGGACGCACCACCGGCUCCCCCACGAGGCCUCCGUCGUGACAGCCGUGAUCGAUUUCCGCGGCCGCAUCCUCGGCAUCGCCGACCGCGCGGAGCUGCUGGAGUUUGUCAGGACCCUGCAGUGCAAACACAAUCCUCUGAAGAAAUGAACUGCUUAACUGAAGAAAUGAACAGCGAGGAUGAAGCGUUACUGACCUGGGAAAUGGAGGGCCAAGAUUGAAGACAGCAAGUGACGAUCAACGGCUCUCCUCUUCAACGGUUCCUGUUCCUCGUCACGCUGUUGCCGUCACCCGCUGAACCUCUACAGGACGGAAAGCAGAGCACGUGCACGACGCUACCUACCCUGCCAGCUACUUAUCUCCUCCGCCAAGCAAACUAGCGGCAUCUUUUCCCCAUUCUACAAGUUGUACUCCCUAGCGUAGCUCUAGAACCCUAAAUUACUUUUGUAGAAUUCGGAAUUGAUCCUCGAUCUGUACCUGUAUCUUGCUACUUGUUCUUGGCGAUAAUCAAAUCGGGGCAAGUUCGAGUGAUUUGUGUGUUUGAUCCGAUCGCUAGUCCUGUCAAUUGGUAUCAGUAGCCAGGCGUUCCUCGGAGGCGGAUCGGUCGGAACACGCUGUGGUUGGGUUUCGGCUUGGUAAAAUUCCACAGCCUGUUGCCGAUUGCGGCGGCGGUGUUCAUCGGAGGCGAAUUCUUCGGCGGAAGGGCGAGGUCACCGGCGAGGGUUUUGGACUCGCUCCGCUGUAAAAUUCCGGAGCCAUGAGUGACACCAUGCCUACCCGAACCAAGCACAUGGACGAGAUCGCUGAAGAAAUUGACACACUUUGCGAGGAAGUGGGCGUUUUGAGUCACAAGCAGGACCAGAUCCAAGAUCAGAUCGAUCAGGUCAACACAAGGUUGCUUUCUGUCGAGUCCCUGGAAAAGCAAUUGGGAAAGGUCGAGCUAUUAGUGGAGAAGAAUGCAGAAGUUCAGCAAGAAAUUUUCUCCAUCUUGCGCACCAUGCGGUCUGAAAAUCCCAACCCACCCUCCCCUGAGUCCCUUGUUUUAGCAUCAGUGACAACACUGCAAAACCAAAAUCAACAGCAACAGCCAGAUCAAGGAGAGCCACGAGUUGAGCAGCGUCUGCAGCAACCACCAAUUCAGAACAGCAGUACUAAUCCAACAACGCAGUUGCAGGCAAGCCACACGACACAGUAUCAGUCUGACCGUGCUGCCCAGUUUAUGAGGAGCAUUUCCAAAGGGCCUACAUUGGAUUUCCCCUGCUUUAAUGGAGAAAAUCCUUUAGGCUAGAUCCGACAGGUCACCAAAUACUUCCAACUUGCUCAAACUCCCGACGAAUGUAAGGUAGAUUUGGCCCUUACUUACUUCACAGGUAGAGCAGACAACUGGGUGAGGAGUGCUCAACUGGAUAAUGCAAAAACACCCUGGGAGGAUUUCUGCAGACUGAUUUGUGACAGAUUUGCUGAUCAUAGCAUUUAUGAAAUACUGGAGAAGUUUCAUAGCCUCAAACAAAACACACUGUCAGUUGCUGCAUAUACUGACAAAUUUGAAGAAAUCAUGGCCAUUGUAAGAGCUGACCACCCUUAUUUGCAGGAGCAAUACUAUGUUGUCAGCUUUGUCAAUGGAUUAAAGCCCAGCAUAAGAUGCAACUUAAGGCCACAGAGACCUAAAACUCUUAGCCAGGCUUACUGGUUAGCAAGGGACUAUGAGAGUGGACUGCAAGCAAAGUACCAAUCUUACAUGAACCAGCAAGAACGACUGCAGGCUCAUUCGAGCCAGCAAAAGCACACUAUUCCACCAGCUCCAAAUUUACAGGUACCACUUGCAGCUCCAGCCACCAAAAAGCCAGGUAUAUGUUGGAGAUGCAAUGGACCGUGGGUGCCAGGCCAUAAGUGCAAACAAGCACCUUCAGUACACGCUAUAGUUGGUCCUGAAAGUGCUGAAGAUGUUACACCUGAAGAGGAGGCCCAACUUGCAGUACUGACAGUUGAAGGCCAAUGGACUGAAUCUGAUAAUCAGUGCAUGCACAUUUCUGCACAAGCAAUAUCAGGAAAUGCUUCCCUUCUACUCUAGCAAUACACAUUAUGGUAGGGGGAAGACAAGGUGUAGCCCUGGUAGACACUGGCAGUACUAAUACAUUCAUUGAUAUGAAGUUUGCUCUAAAAAGUAACUUUCAUCUGAUCAAUACACCCACAAAGAAAGUGACAGUAGCAGGUGGGGGAUCAUUGAGUUCAGGUGCUUAUGCUCCCAAUACCAGUUUCAAGAUCUGCAAUGAGACAUUUUCAAACGAUUUUACAGUGCUGGAACUGCAAGGAUAUGAUGUGGUUCUAGGUUGUGAUAUGCUCAAACAACACAACCCCAUAGCAAUGGACUUUGAAGCCAGAACAGUCACUAUGACCAAAGAUAAGCUGACACCUGUCACAUUCCCUGAUUACACAACUACUGUUGUUCCUAAAAUAAUUUCAGCAGAGAAACUAGAACAUAUGUGUUCUAAAGGAGCAGUGGGUUUUACAAUGAGCCUCCAGUUUAUGUCCACUGCUGGCAAAUAAUUCAUGGCAGCACAACAAGCACCAGAGGAUAUACUACAGGUUUUAGAAUAGUAUGAUGAAUUGUUCAAAGAACCUACUGUUCUGCCUCCAGCAAGGGAUUGUGACCACUCCAUACCUCUUAAGGAGAAUUCCACACCUCCCAAUGUUAGACCAUACAGGGUGCCUCAUUUGCAGAAAGAUGAAAUGGAACAGCAAAUCAAAUUACUCCUCUCCAGACAUAUAAUUCAACACAGUAUGAGCCCUUAUGCUUCCCCAACAAUCUUGGUCAGAAAGAAAGGAGGUACUUGGAGACUGUGCAUAGAUUACAGGAAAUUAAAUGCACAAACAAUCAAGGACAAGUUUCCUAUACCUGUCAUUGAAGAUCUAUUAGAUGAAUUACAGGGAGCAGCAGUUUUUAGCAAGCUAGACUUGAAGUCUGGUUACCAUUAGAUAAGAAUGAAACCUGAAGAUGUGCACAAAACUGCAUUCAGAACAUACUCAGGGCAUUAUGAGUUUUUGGUGAUGCCUUUUGGAUUGACAAAUGCACCAGCAACAUUCCAAGCACUCAUGAACAAACUUUUUGGCCCUUAUCUGAGGAAAUUUGUUUUGGUUUUCUUUGAUGAUAUUCUGAUAUUCAGUAGAACUCCAAAAGAACAUAAGAAACACUUGAAGAUUGUUAUGGACAUCUUAAAAGAAAAUAAAUUGCUCCUCAACAAAUCCAAGUGUACUUUUCGUACUUCUACAGUGGAAUACCUUGGUCAUGUGAUAUCUGCUCAAGGGGUUGCAACUGAUCCUGAGAAAAUCACUGUUGUGCAACAAUGGGCCCUGCCUGCCAAUAUCACUGAAUUAAGAAGUUUUCUGGGCCUAGCUGGUUACUAUAGAAGGUUCAUCAAAGAUUAUGGGACUAUUUGCAGACCACUUCAUGAUUUGUUGAAGAAAGAUGCAUUCCUUUGGACUGAAAUGCAAACAGAAGCUUUCAAUAAACUGAAAUACAGCUUAACUCAUGCACCUGUCCUGGCAUUACCUGACUUUUCCACUCCUUUUGAGCUAGAGUGUGAUGCUUCUGGAGCAGGUACUGGCUUAUGCAGAAACACAUGCCCAUUGCUUACUAUAGCAAAUCCUUGGGACCUAGGGCAGCUGCACUAUCAACUUAUGAAAAAGAGGCAAUAGCUAUAUUGGAAUCCUUAAGGAAAUGGAGACACUACUUCCUUGGAUCAUCUCUGAUCAUUAAGACAGACCACCAAAGCCUGAAAUAUAUCACUGAGCAGAGGAUAUCUGAGGGAAUUCAGCACAAACUCAUGCUGAAGCUGCUAGAAUUCACUUAUACAAUUGAGUAUAAGAAAGGGAAAGAAAAUAAAGCUGCUGAUGCUCUCUCUAGAAGACCUCAAGUAAUGUCCAUCUCCAUGGCAAUUCCCAGUUGGACAAAAAAAAUUGAGGACUCUUAUAAGGAAGAUGAUAAAUGCAAACACCUUAUAGAGCAGCUCACAAUGGGCACAAAUGCUCUGCCCCACUAUACAUACAUGGCAGGUGUGUUGAGAUAUAAAAACAGAAUUUACAUAGGAUCUGAUCCUGAAUUCCAACAAUAGUUGCUUUCCACAUUUCACUCCUCUCCUAUGGGAGGACAUUCAGGAGUAAGAGCCACUUAUCAUAGAAUCAAGAGGAUUUUCUACUGGCCAAAUCUAAAACAACAAGUGGAGAAAUUCAUACAUCAAUGUCCAGUUUGUCAGAGAGCAAAAGGGGAACACUGUCAUUAUCUUGGACUGCUUGACCCACUGCCAAUUCCAGAUAUGGCUUGGAGACACAUCUCAAUGGAUUUUGUAGAAGGGCUACCAAAAUCUCAGGGCAAAGAUGUGAUACUGGUGGUAGUAGACAGAUUUACAAAGUACUCCCACUUCAUUGCACUAUCACACCCAUUCACUGUAACUCAUGUGCUGCAAGCAUUUAUUGAUAAUGUGUUCAAAUUGCAUGGUAUGCCAGUGUCUAUGGUCACUGACAGAGAUACUAUAUUCACAAGCAAUUUUUGGCAAGCCUUGUUCAAAUCACUGGGAGUAAAACUCCACAUGAGCACAACACAUCAUCCCCAGUCUGAUGGGCAAACAGAAAGGGCCAAUCAGUACUUAGAGGCUUAUCUUAGAGUGAUGGCUUUUCAAGAACCUAAGAAGUGGUGCUCCUGGUUAUCAAUGGCAGAGUGGUGGUCCAAUACUACUUAUCACACAGCUACAAAGUUUACUCCAUUCCAGUGUUUAUAUGGGUUUCCUCCUCCCCUCAUUGGAGAAGUCUCAAUCCCUGGACCUAGUGAUUCUGGAGCAGAAUCCUUUUUGCAACAAAGAGAAGUCAUGCAACAACAACUGAAACAAAACCUACUUGUCGCACAACAACGCAUGAAGAAAUAUGCUGAUGCAAACAGAACUGAGAGGCACUUUACAGAGGGAGAAAUGGUAUAUCUGAAAAUGCAACCAUACAGAUUCGCUGUAUUCGGAAUAAGAACUGGAUUGAAGCUUGCAACAAAAUUCUAUGGUCCUUCUAGGAUCUUACAAAAGCUAGGGAACUCCUCUUACAAACUACUGCUACCUGACUCCGCACAGAUACACAAUGUGUUCCAUGUGAGUCAACUCAAACGACAUAUUGGACCAACAGUUGUCCCUGCCCCAGGAUUACCACUUGUGGAUGCUGCUGGCAAGAUCAAAGUAGCUCCGAUCAUGGUCUUGGAAACACAUGCAGUACCUCGACCCCCUAAACUGGUAACACAAUGGCUCGUGCAAUGGUUGAACAUGUCCCCAGAAGAAGCUACUUGGGAGGAUGCUGACUUUAUCAAAUUCACCUUCCCGGAAUUCUUCAACGCAACAAUCCGCGCUUGGUUCCCACAAAACGAUCCUUGGGGACAAGGAUCUUCUUCUGGAGAGGGCAAUUGUCAGGACCCUGCAGUGCAAACACAAUCCUCUGAAGAAAUGAACUGCUUAACUGAAGAAAUGAACAGCGAGGAUGAAGCGUUACUGACCUGGGAAAUGGAGGGCCAAGAUUGAAGACAGCAAGUGACGAUCAACGACUCUCCUCUCCAACGGUUCCUGUUCCUCGUCACGCCGUUGCCGUCACCCACUGAACCUCCACAGGACGGAAAGCAGAGCACGUGCACGAUGCUACCUACCCUGCCAGCUACUUAUCUCCUCCGCCAAGCAAACUAGCGGCAUCUUUUCCCCAUUCUACAAGUUGUACUCCCUAGCGUAGCUCUAGAACCCUAAUAUUACUUUGUAGAAUUCGGAAUUGAUCCUUGAUCUGUACCUGUAUCUUGCUACUUGUUCUUGGCGAUAAUCAAAUCGGGGC
rnacentral:lncRNA from 1 species